rnacentral:lncRNA from 1 species
GGGGUUUCACCAUGUUGGUCAGGCUGGUCUCGAACUCCUGAGCUCAAAUGAUCUGCCUGCCUCAGCCUCCCAAAGUGCUGGAAUUUUACAGGCGUGAGCCACCGUGCCUGGCCUGUUUCCUUUUUGAAAACUUUACAGGGUGAUGUGUCUUCAGGAGUCCCAAUCUAUCUUUUCCUGGUCCUGGGUUUCAGAACCGCCUGGGGCUGAACCAAAAUGCCCACAGCUCCCAUCUCUCCUGGCCUACUGAAUAUCAGCCCCUGUGUCAGUCCUCCCAGAGGAUAGCCUGAGGCAGGGUGUGGGAUCUCCCAAAGGAGCAACUGAAUUUCCCAAAUGGGAGGAGACUCCUGGUACACUCUUCAUCUAGAUAGCCAACCCCUUGGGAUGCUCAGUUUUUCUCCCCCAGUCCCAGCUUCCAUUAUUUGGAGACACAUAGCUGGUCAGCCAGUUGGAUGUUGCUAUUAAGGGAAAGGUGUAGGUGAAGUGAGCCACAGCAGAGUCAUCUCAACAAAGCCAUAAAGCCAUGACAUAACAGUGCAUUAUCACAUCCCAGACAGAUGAGGGCAGCACACCUUGCAGGGCAACACAGAGUGGGGGGAACAUCCAGGAUGCACAUUCAACCAGCAGGAUUCAGUGGCCUUUGAGGAUGUGGCUGUCAGCUUCACCCAGGAGGAGUGGGCUUUGCUGGAUCCUUCCCAGAAGAAUCUCUACAGGGAUGUGAUGCAGGAAACCUUCAAGAACCUGACCUCUGUAGGAAAAACAUGGAAAGUUCAGAACAUUGAAGAUGAGUACAAAAAUCCCAGGAGAAAUCUAAGUCUUAUGAGAGAGAAACUCUGUGAAAGUAAAGAAAGUCAUCACUGUGGAGAAAGCUUCAACCAGAUUGCAGAUGACAUGCUGAACAGGAAAACUCUUCCUGGAAUAACACCAUGUGAAAGCAGUGUGUGUGGAGAAGUUGGCACGGGUCAUUCAUCUCUUAAUACGCAUAUCAGAGCUGACACUGGACACAAGUCAUCUGAGUAUCAGGAAUAUGGAGAGAAUCCAUAUAGAAAUAAGGAAUAGAUGGAGUCUCCCUGUUUCCCAGGCUGGUCAUUGACUGCUGGAUCAUGUGAUUCUUCUGUCUCCAUCUCCCCAAGUUCUGGGAUUACAGACAUGAGCCACCACAAUUGGCUACUACUUUUUUAAAAAAAUCACCUUGAGUCCUAUGGGGCCAAUAUGUUUUUGAAAACUGAAUUUCCUGCCCAGUAAAGAACAAAGUCAGCAUCACUAUUCCAA